AUCCGCCUGGCCCUGAAGAUCAGGAUCUUCCUGUGGCAAUGGAUCCGAGGCCGCCUCCCGUCCGGCGUGGAGGUCCUUAAGCAUAAUGGACCUGGGGAUGGGAUGUGCCCCUUGUGCGGCACGGUGGAGGAUGCUAACCACAUCUUCUUCUCGUGCUCCACGGCUCAGUUCCUUUGGUCCUGUUUCCGCGAGACGGUUGGGGGCCAGUGGUGCAACACCAACUUCCCUGACCUGCUUGCGGAAAUUCACGCCUCCCCCUCGCUACCCCCAUAUUAG
rnacentral:rRNA from 1 species